rnacentral:rRNA from 1 species
CUACGGAGGGUGCGAGCGUUAAUCGGAAUUACUGGGCGUAAAGCGUACGUAGGCGGUUGGUUAAGUUAGAUGUGAAAGCCCCGGGCUUAACCUGGGAACUGCAUUUAAAACUGGCGAACUAGAGUUGAGUAGAGGGGAGUGGAAUUUCAGGUGUAGCGGUGAAAUGCGUAGAGAUCUGAAGGAACACCAGUGGCGAAGGCGACUCCCUGGACUCGAACUGACGCUGAGGUACGAAAGCGUGGGUAGCAGACGGGAUUAGAAACCCUAGUAGUCC